GAUGCUUCUUGUGUCUUAAGGAAAUACUUGUAAGGUUUGUUGAAUGUGCCAAGAGUGCCUCAAAUACUUAAAAGCUUACUUAACCCUUUCCUCAUCAGAAGCAAAGUGAAAAUGGCUUUUGCAACCAGCAUAAACUUAGGACAGCCUGCGAGUAACUCGCAGUGUGUUCAGGUGUAUGUGGUCUUCUGCUCAUCCGUAUCUAAGGAUUGGAAAUAAAACCUUUAAAACUUAAAUAUAGUUCUGGUUGCACUUCAUAUCGAGUCAGAACGAAAAAGGACACUGUUACUUAAGGUGUCAUCUUUAUUUACUGGGUGAUUGCCAACAUCGCUAACAUCAUCCCAUUCUACCUGCGCUUGAUUGAAGAGGUUCUCCCAAUACAUUGAGGCCAUCGACAGUUCGUUGCCAGAAAUGAUUGUGGAAGGGUUGUGGAGUUUCUAUGCAGUAGUCAGCGUCUUUGUAGUCGUGGGCUACAGCGCCCUGAUAUACCUGACAGUGAUUCUUCCCCUGGGAUUUAUUAUAAAUAUAACUUAUAAAUAUUUUUUUUCAUACAGUUAUUCAGUAUAUUUCGACCUAAAAACAAUAGUUUUGGGUUCAAGCAAUACUUUAAGUCUAAACACUACUUUUGGGUUAAAGCAAUACGUUUGGGUCUAAACAAUACUUUUGGGUCUAAACAUUACUUUUGGGUCUAAAAGGUCACAAUAUAUAAAUAUUUUUCCUAUAUCAAUUGAUUCAAUGUAAAAGCGACAACUUUAAGCAAAAAUAACAGCUACAUUGUGCACAUAGAGACCCCCAUACAUGUACCUAUUCAUAAAGGCCUUUCUAAGCUGAAUCGUUCUAUGCAAUAGAAAGGUAUGUCAUGCACACACAAGAAAGAACUUUACACAAAUCAAAAUCGACUGCUUUUGCACACACAAAAAUCCGGACAUUUUCUAGUGGCAUAUGUAACCUUUUCCAGUGAAAUUUUGUACUAUAGUCUCUUACUGGCGGCCAACGUUAAUAACCCACCAUGUUAGUCAGACAUCCCUCAGAUGUCGGGGCAUGAUGAAAUUUGUGGAAGAAUGUCUCAAUUGGAGGGGAUAUGUGCAGCAGGGUUCGAUAUAAAGAGAACUUAUACUGCCUUGUGUGUGUAUGUCAAAGUUUAUAUGUACAGGUCAUCUCUGAGUCAAUACUUUUGAGUCAAAACAAUACAUUUGCGUCUAAACAAUACUUUUAGGUGUAAGCAAAACUUUUGGGUCUAAACAGUUCUUGUGGGUCUAAGCAAUACUUUGGGGUUGAAACAAUACUUUGGGGUCUAAGCAAUACUUUGGGGUCUAAACAAUAAUGUUGAGUCUAAACAAUACUUUUGGAUAAACAGUACAUUUGCGUCUAAACAAUACUUUUGGGUCUGAACAAUAUUUUUGGGUCUAAACAAUACUUUGGGGUCUAAACAAUACUUUUGGGUUUAAACAAUACAUUUGCGUCUAAACAAUUAUUUUGAGUCUAAACAAUACUUUGGGGUCUAAACAAUACUUUGAGGUUUAAACAAUACUUUGGGGUCUAAACAAUACUUAAGUCUGUAAACAAUACUUUUUUGUCCUAACAAUACUUUUGUGUCUAAAUAAUACUUUAAGCUAAAAAAAUUAUUUUGGGUCAAAAGAAUACUUUAAGCUAGAAAAAUACUUUGUGGUCUAAACAAUACUUUUGGGUCUAAAAAAUACUUUUAGGUCAAAACAAUACUUUAAGCUUUAAGCAAUACUUUUCAGGAGCAAUCACCGCUUACAGAGACAGCAUUUGUUUUUGUGUACAUUUUCAAAAUUUGAUUUACACUCUUUAAGUUUACAUUUAUGUUUGCUUAAUCUUAGUUACUGAAAAAUCAUAAUUAUUUAUGGGACAUAAAUUUUAGUUUAUCUUGUGGCUUGACUGAUCAAUGAAUUUCAAGAUAACAAAGGAUCAUUUGUAUUUGUGUGUGUUCUUUGGCCAAAAUCACUAAUUUAUGAUUGUAGGUUUGUGUCCAUGCAAAGUCAUUUUUGACAAAUCAUGAAUGUCACGCUGAGCAUUACAAAUGAUUUUACAGUAUAUUUUGUACGAUACUUUUCUGUCUAAAUUGGAUUUUUGCUGAAA